CGCGUGGUUCUAUUUUUGUUGGUUUUUAGAACCGCCGUAAUGAUUAAUAGGGACAGUCGGGGGCAUCUGUAUUCAAUUGUCAGAGGUGAAAUUCUUGGAUCUAUUGAAGACAAACUACUGCGAAAGCAUUUGCCAAGGAUGUUUUCAUUGAUAAGGAACGAAAGUUAGGGGAUCGAAGACGAUCAGAUACCGUCGUAGUCUUAACUAUAAACUAUGCCGACUAGGGAUCGGACGAUGUUAUUUUUUGACUCGUUCGGCACCUUUCGAGAAAUCAAAGUGCUUGGGCUCCAGGGGGAGUAUGGUCGCAAGGCUGAAACUUAAAGAAAUUGACGGAAGGGCACCACCAGGGGUGGAACCUGCGGCUUAAUUUGACUCAACACGGGGAAACUCACCAGGUCCAGACACAGUGAGGAUUGACAGAUUGAUAGCUCUUUCUUGAUUCUGUGGGUGGUGGUGCAUGGCCGUUCUUAGUUGGUGGAGUGAUUUGUCUGCUUAAUUGCGAUAACGAACGAGACCUUAACCUGCUAAAUAGCCCGUUCUGCUUCGGCAGUACGCUGGCUUCUUAGAGGGACUAUCGGCUCAAGCCGAUGGAAGUUUGAGGCAAUAACAGGUCUGUGAUGCCCUUAGAUGUCCUGGGCCGCACGCGCGUUACACUGACAAAGCCAGCGAGUAUUUCCUUAGCCGGAAGGCUUGGGUAAUCUUGUUAAACUUUGUCGUGC
rnacentral:rRNA from 1 species